rnacentral:rRNA from 1 species
GUCCUUUCGUUUUUUUGGAAGGUCUGGCCUGCCCAGUGAUAUAUUUAACGGCCGCGGUAUCUUGACCGUGCAAAGGUAGCAUAAUCAUUAGUCUUUUAAUAGGAGGCUGGAAUGAAAGGUUUAACGAAACAUACACUGUCUCAUUUAUAUUAUUGAAUUUAACUUUUAAGUUAAAAGGCUUAAAUUUUGUUGAUGGACGAGAAGACCCUAUAGAGCUUUACAUUAGUUAUUUUUGUAUUUUGUUGUUUAAUAAUUUAAUGCGAAGGUGGAUUGUUGUUUUGUUGGGGUGACAAUAAAUAUAUAACUAACUUUUUUAUUUUGUUAACAUUAAUUUAUGUAAAGUUGGAUCCAUUAAUAUUGAUCAUUAGAAUAAGUUACCUUAGGGAUAACAGCGUAAUCUUCUUUCAGAGUUCAAAUUUACAAGAAGGCUUGCGACCUCGAUGUUGGAUUAAGAUUAUAAUUAGGUGCAGUAGCUUAAUUAAUAGGUCUGUUCGACCUUUAAAUUCUUACAUGAUCUGAGUUCAGACCGG